rnacentral:rRNA from 1 species
CCUACGGGAUGCACCAGUGGGGAAUAUUGCACAAUGGGCGCAAGCCUGAUGCAGCCAUGCCGCGUGUAUGAAGAAGGCCUUCGGGUUGUAAAGUACUUUCAGUGGGGAGGAAGGCGAUAAGGUUAACAACCUUGUCGAUUGACGUUACCCGCAGAAGAAGCACCGGCUAACUCCGUGCCAGCAGCCGCGGUAAUACGGAGGGUGCAAGCGUUAAUCGGAAUUACUGGGCGUAAAGCGCACGCAGUCGGUCUGUCAAGUCGGAUGUGAAAUCCCCGGGCUCAACCUGGGAACUGCAUUCGGAACUGGCAGGCUAGAGUCUUGUAGAGGGGGGUAGAAUUCCAGGUGUAGCGGUGAAAUGCGUAGAGAUCUGGAGGAAUACCGGUGGCGAAGGCGGCCCCCUGGACAAAGACUGACGCUCAGGUGCGAAAGCGUGGGGAGCAAGCAGGAUUAGAUACCCCCGUAGUC